GGAGGCACGCAUUGGUGGGCUUAUCGGUCUUGAAAACCGUGAUGGCGUAGUGAUAUGCCGUGGGAGUUCGAAUCUCUCUGUCUCCGC
rnacentral:tRNA from 1 species